UUUUGAUUGGUAAAUUUUUGGUGAAUUGUGAUGAAAUAUUUGGAUAGAGCACAUCAAAUAUGACUUGUAGCAAAAAACCCCACCCAAUUUGGCCAAAUGGUUUGGAAGAUAUGCCACUUUGAAGUUCAAAAAUUUUUGAGAAUAAUUUGAUCAUAACUUGCCAACCAUAAGUGAUAAAUGAGUGUUCUUGGACUUUUUGGAAAGGUGAGAGCAAGAUCUUCAACU
rnacentral:lncRNA from 1 species